UACGUAGGGUGCAAGCGUUAUCCGGAAUCACUGGGUUUAAAGGGUACGUAGGCGGUUAAUUAAGUCAGUAGUGAAAGACUGUCGCUCAACGACGGAUGUGCUAUUGAUACUGGUUAACUUGAAUCAGGUUAGAGUUGGCGGAAUGGGUCAUGUAGCGGUGAAAUGCUUAGAUAUGACUUGGAACACCGAUAGCGAAGGCAGCUGACUGAGCCUUGAUUGACGCUGAGGUACGAAAGCAUGGGGAGCAAACAGG
rnacentral:rRNA from 1 species